GGUCGUUGUGAAGGGCGCAGUGGUGGAUGCCUUGGCAGACAGUACCGAUGAAGGACGCGUGGGGCCGCGAUAGUCCUCGGGGAGCCGCCGACAUGGCUUUGAUCCGAGGGUUUCCGAAUGGGGCAACCCGCCAGCCGUCAUGGGCUGGCACCGCAUGUUGUGCGGGGGGUACGCAGGGAAGUGAAACAUCUCAGUACCUGCAGGAGAGGAUACUCCGUGAGUAGUGGCGAGCGAAAGCGGAUGAUGGCUAAACCGUGGUCGUGUGAUACCCGUCGGGGGUUGCGGCCGUGGUGUCGUGGGAGCGUGUGUCCCGGUGCCGACGUGCCGGGCGUCAGUGAUAAAACCGUGUGUGAGGCGAACCGGGUUGGAUACCGGGCCGUAGAGGGUGAUGGCCCCGUAGCCGAACGCGCAUGGUCUGGCGAUCGCGUCUCCCGAGUAGCGCGGGCCUCGUGGAAUCCCGUGUGAAUCCGCCCAGACCGUUGGGUAAGCCUGAGUAUAGCUGUCUGACCGAUAGUGGACGAGUACCGUGAGGGAAAGGUGAAAAGCACCCCGGGAGGGGAGUGAAAGAGUUCCUGAAACCGUGCGCCUACGAACCGUCGGAGCCUUCCUUGUGGGGGGUGACGGCGUGCCUAUCGAAAAAUGAGUCUGCGAGUCAGUGGCAUGUGGCGAGCAUAAGCCGUGUGGCGUAUGCGUAGCGAAAGCGAGUCCGAAUAGGGCGUUUUUGAGUCGCGUGUCCUGGACCCGAAGCGGGAUGAUCUAGCCCUGGGCAGGUUGAAGCGCGGGUAAGACCGCGUGGAGGACCGCACCCACUUAGGUUGAAAACUGAGGGGAUGACCUGGGGUUAGGGGUGAAAGGCCAAUCAAAUUCCGUGAUAGCUGGUUCUCUCCGAAAUGCAUUUAGGUGCAGCGUCGGUUGAUUGCGCGCAGGGGGUAGAGCUACUGGAUGCUUGCGGGCCCGUACCGGGUACCAACAGCAACCAAACUCCGAAUACCUGUCGCGUGUAUGCCGGCGGUGAGUCGGCGGGGGAUAAGCUCCGUCGUCGAGAGGGAGACAGCCCAGACCGUCGUCUAAGGUCCCCAAGCGCGUGCUAAGUGGGAAAGGAUGUGGAGUCGCAUAGACAGCCAGGAGGUUGGCUCAGAAGCAGCCAUCCUUGAAAGAGUGCGUAACAGCUCACUGGUCUAGUGGUUCCGCGCCGACAAUGUAGCGGGGCUCAAGCACGCCACCGAAGACGCGGACGCCAAUGUUGUGUUGGCGUGGUAGGAGAGCGUCCCAUGAGGGUCGAAGCCGCCGGGUGACCGUGUGGUGGACUUCAUGGGAGUGAGAAUGCAGACAUGAGUAGCGAGAGCAGGGUGAGGAUCCCUGCCGCUGGAUGACCAAGGGUUCCAGGGCCACGUUCGUCGUCCCUGGGUGAGUCGGGUCCUAAGGCGAGGCCGACAGGCGUAGUCGAAUGGAUGAACGGGUUGAUAUUCCCGUACCGGCCGCAUGACCGAUCAGCGAUCCCUUACGAAAUACCCGGUUUCACCAUGAGGCGUCGUCCUUUCGGGGAUGGCGCCGACUGGCUGGUCCCGGGUGGCUUGUCUGGGGUCGAGCGCAUGGAGUGACGCGGACGGGUAGCCGGCCGGGGAGGUGGUUUUCCCUGGUCAAGCGUGCGGCCCCGCCCCCAGGCAAAUCCGGGGGCAGCAUGGGGCGAGGCGUGAUGAUGGGGGCCCUUGAUGGCCCGAUAUCCGGUGAUCCCGUCGGCCGAGAAAAGCUUCGGCGUGAGGUCGGCGGCCGCUCGUACCCCAAACCGACACAGGUGGUCAGGUAGAGUAUACCGAAGCGAGCGAGCGAAUCCUGGUCAAGGAACUCGGCAAACCGCUCCCGUGCCUUCGGCAUAAGGGAGACCCCCCGCGGUGACGGCCCUAGCGGCCUCGAGCGGCGGGGGGUGGCACAAGCCAGGGGGUAGCGACUGUUUACCAAAAACACAGGUGCAUGCCAAGACGCAAGUCGCCGUAUAUGCACUGACGCCUGCCCGGUGCCGGAAGGUUAAGAGGAUCCAUCAGCGCCUUGUGCGCGAAGUGGUGAAUUCAAGCCCCGGUAAACGGCGGUGGUAACUAUAACCAUCCUAAGGUAGCGAAAUUCCUUGUCGGGUAAGUUCCGACCUGCACGAAUGGCGUAACGACUUCCCCGCUGUCUCGACCAGGAGCUCGGCGAAAUUGCAGUACGAGUAAAGAUGCUCGUUAAGCGCAGAAGGACGAAAAGACCCCGGGACCUUUACUAUACCUUGGUAUUGGCAUCAGGUGCGGAUUGUGUAGCAUAGGCGGGAGACCGUGAAGCACGCACGCCAGUGUGUGUGGAGUCGCCCAGUGAAAUACCGCUCUGUCCCCAUCUGAUGCCUAACCCGGACAAGUCAGCCUUGUCGGGGAGAGUGCCUGGCGGGUAGUUUAACUGGGGCGGUUGCCUCCCAAAGAGUAACGGAGGCGCUCAAAGGUCCGCUCGGCCCGGUUGGCAAUCGGGUGUCGAGUGUAAUCGCACAAGCGGGCUUGACUGCGAGAUCGACGGAUCGAGCAGGGACGAAAGUCGGAGAUAGUGAUCCGGUGCCGGCGUACGGACGCGGCAUCGCUCAACGGAUAAAAGGUACCCCGGGGAUAACAGGCUGAUCAUUCCCAAGAGUCCAUAUCGACGGGAUGGUUUGGCACCUCGAUGUCGGCUCGUCGCAUCCUGGGGCUGGAGCAGGUCCCAAGGGUUCGGCUGUUCGCCGAUUAAAGCGGCACGCGAGCUGGGUUCAGAACGUCGUGAGACAGUUUGGUCUCUAUCCUCUGCGCUCGUUGGAAUCCUGAGGAGGCCUGCCCAUAGUACGAGAGGACCUGGGUGGACGAACCUCUGGUAUGCCGGUUGUCGCGCCAGCGGCACGGCCGGUUGGCUACGUUCGGGAGGGAUAACCGCUGAAAGCAUCUAAGCGGGAAGCCCGCUCCAAGAUAAGGAUUCCUGACCACCCUCCGGGGUGGUGACAGACCCCACAUGAGACCAUGUGGUCGAUAGACCGGACGUGGAAGCCCCGCAAGGGGUGGAGCCGACCGGCACUAACGGUCGAAAACGNCCCCCC
rnacentral:rRNA from 1 species